rnacentral:rRNA from 1 species
CCUACGGGAGGCUGCAGUGGGGAAUAUUGCACAAUGGGGGAAACCCUGAUGCAGCGACGCCGCGUGAGUGAAGAAGUACUUCGUUAUUUAAAGCUCUAUCAGCAGGGAAGAAAAUGACGGUACCUGAGUAAGAAGCCCCGGCUAACUACGUGCCAGCAGCCGCGGUAAUACGUAGGGGGCAAGCGUUAUCCGGAUUUACUGGGUGUAAAGGGAGCGUAGACGGGAGUGCAAGUCUGGAGUGAAAGGCGGGGGCUCAACCCCCGGACUGCUCUGGAAACUGGACGGCUGGAGUGCAGGAGAGGUAAGUGGAAUUCCUAGUGUAGCGGUGAAAUGCGUAGAUAUUAGGAGGAACUCCGAUUGCGAAGGCAGCCUACUAAACUGCCACUGACAUUGAUGCUCGAAAGUGUGGGUAUCAAACAGGAUUAGAUACCCUAGUAGUC